GCCAGUGUGGUUUAGUGGUUUGAAUGCUAGACUAGGAUUCUGGGAAGAAAGGAUUCAAAUUCUGCUCAGUCA